GCUGCCGGCCCGAGCCGCGGCGCCCGGGGCCGCGGCGCCAUGGGGCACCCGCCGCUGGAGUUCAGCGACUGCUACCUGGACAGCCCCGACUUCCGCGAGCGGCUCAAGUGCUACGAGCAGGAGCUGGAGCGCACCAACAAGUUCAUCAAGGAGGUCAUCAAGGACGGCAACGCGCUCAUCGCCGCCAUCCGCGGUUAUUCAUCGGCAGUACAGAAAUUCUCCCAGACUUUGCAGUCCUUUCAGUUUGACUUUAUUGGUGACACAUUAACAGAUGAUGAGAUUAAUAUUGCUGAAUCCUUUAAGGAGUUUGCAGAGUUGCUCCACGAAGUAGAACUUGAGAGAUCAAUGAUGGUGCAAAAUGCUAGUGAUUUGCUGAUCAAACCUUUGGAAAAUUUUCGGAAGGAGCAAAUAGGAUUCACCAAGGAAAGGAAGAAAAAGUUUGAGAAGGAUGGUGAGAAGUUUUAUUCCAUGUUGGAUCGCCAUUUACAUUUGUCUUCUAAAAAGAAGGAAUCCCAACUACAAGAGGCUGACCUCCAGGUUGACAGAGAGAGACACAAUUUCUUUGAGUCCUCUCUUGAGUAUGUGUACCAGAUCCAGGAAGUACAAGAAAGCAAGAAAUUCAGUAUCGUUGAACCGGUAUUGGCUUUUCUCCACAGCCUCUUUACUUAUAACAACCUGACAGUUGAACUCACACAGGAUUUCCUUCCUUAUAAACAGCAGCUUCAGCUCAGUCUGCAGAAUACAAGAAAUCACUUUACCAGCACAAGAGAGGAGUUGGAAGACCUGAAGAAGAGGAUGAAAGAAGCCCCUCUAACCUGCAAACUACCUGGGCAGCCAACCAUAGAGGGUUAUCUGUACACUCAAGAGAAAUGGGCAUUGGGCAUUUCUUGGGUGAAAUAUUAUUGUCAAUAUGAAAAGGAGGCAAAAACAUUAAGGAUGACUCCCAUGGACCAGAAGCCUGGAGCUAAGCAAGGCACCUUAGACUUGACACUGAAAUCCUGUGUAAGGAGAAAGACUGAUUCUAUAGACAAAAGGUUUUGUUUUGACAUUGAAACUAAUGAAAGAUCUGGUACCAUCACGCUGCAAGCACUUUCCGAAGCUAAUCGAAGGCUAUGGAUGGAAGCCAUGGAUGGAAAAGAGCCAAUCUACCACAGUCCCAUCACGAAACAGGAGGAAAUGGAGUUGAACGAGGUUGGCUUCAAGUUUGUAAGGAAGUGCAUCAACGCAGUAGAAACGAAAGGGAUUACUACAGAGGGUGUCUACCGAACUGUCGGCAGCAAUAUUCAGGUGCAGAAGUUGCUGAAUGCCUUUUUUGAUCCAAAAUGUCCAGGGGAUGUAGAUCUCCAGAGCAGUGACUGGGACAUCAAGACAAUUACCAGCUCACUGAAGUUUUAUCUCAGGAACCUGUCUGAGCCUGUCAUGACGUACAAACUCCACAAGGAGCUGGUCUCGGCUGCCAAAUCUGAGAACCUGGAUUACAGGCUGGGAGCCAUUCAUGCUCUGGUCUAUAAACUACCUGACAAAAACAGAGAGAUGUUAGAGCUCCUCAUACGACACCUAGUCAACAUAUGUGAGCACAGCCGAGAGAAUCUGAUGUCACCGUCUAAUAUGGGGGUAAUAUUUGGACCUACCCUCAUGCGAGCACAGGAGGACACUGUAGCAGCAAUGAUGAACAUCAAGUUCCAAAACAUUGUAGUUGAGAUCCUCAUCGAGCAUUUUGCAAAGAUCUACUCUGGUCCUCCAGAAGACAACACUGCCCCACCAAUCCCUCCUCCGAGGGUGACUGCCCGGAGGCACAAACCGAUCACCAUUUCCAAACGUCCUCUGAGGGAAAGGCCUGUCUUUUUCGGUGCUUCUGUGGGAGAAAGUGAAGGGGACGGCCGCAGCCAGACCCCGAACGGCGCCGCUGUCCCCGUGGGCGCCGAGGCCCCCAGGCCGCUGCUCCGGAGCCGGGUGCCGGCGCCGCGGGCCCUGGAGGCGGACGCCGGCCGGCCGCCCCCCGAGAGCCAGCCGGAGCAGCGUGCCGAGGGCGACGUGGGCAAGCUGGUGUCCCGGCGGCAGGACGCGGGCGCGAAGGUGGCCGGCAGGCCCGCCAACGGGGUGGUGGCCGGCCCCGCGCUGAAGACCUCCACGCUGCACGCCAAGCGUCCGGCGCCUCGGCCCCUGAUUUACGGCAGGGAGGGUGAGUAUGAUGGCGUUCCUAAACCACGAUCCCACAGCGAGAAGCCUAUAAUAACGCGUCCCCCAGUGAGACCUCCAGACCCACCGUGCAGGACCCCUGUCCCUCAGAAGCUGGAGCAGAAGCCAGACCUGAUAGCGGGAGCAGCAGAGGAAACGCCUUCGUCUGUAGUGGCCUCUAGGACAAAGUUCUUCGAGACAGCUUCCCGAAGAACCAGCAAGUAAGAAGCCUGAAACUAAGAAGCUAACAUUUCUUCAUCACCACAAGGCAGGCCCCCAGGUGAUGACAGCUGAGGUUAAAGACUUUUUAACCACCGAAGCUUGGCUGGACCCAGGAGACUUUCUGUGCCUGUGAAAUGGACAUCUCACAGCUAAGAUUUUUCCAGUUCAUAUGACCCUGGAGAGCAGCUAUCUUACCGGACGAAAAUUUCAGAGCAUACUGUCAUAAGUAGCUCAAGAAAUUAGAAGAGGGAGAUAAAAAUGGAGAGGACACCCUACCUACUCAUUUGUUUCGAAUUGUCCACAGUCCUUCCAUCAUUCUUCUCUACACAGGCCAUGUGUAAAGGGUGCUCGUUGUUUGCCCUCCCAGAUGACCAGCAGGAUUUGCAUUCUUGGGUGAAAGCCAACAGGACAUCUGACGGGGCAUGGAAGGGACAGCAGAGGACGAGAGCAGCUAUUUAUCUGCUCAUUUUCUGUGAAAUCUGCCUUGGCAAGGAGGAGCUUGGAGAGACACUGCAGAUAAAUGCACGGAACUGAUUCCCAGUGCUUGGAUACAGGGACAGAAUGGGCUGAAGUUUGGGUUGGCCCUCCACGUCAUGACAAACUCCUUCCAAUAUGUUACGUUUUCUUUGCUAAGUAAGCUAUAAUGUGUUUUUCAGUGUUUAAGAGAGUAGUAUGUAUUACUGAAAAUACAGCUUGUGCUAAG